GUUACGGCGGCCACAGCGACAGGGAAACGCCCGGUCCCAUUCCGAACCCGGAAGCUAAGCCUGUCAGCGCCAAUGAUACUGCCCUUUGGGUGGAAAAGUAGGACACCGCCGAACAU
rnacentral:rRNA from 1 species